rnacentral:rRNA from 1 species
CGGGGGAGCGUUCGCGCUUCCGCCGGCGACCGGCGCACGGGUGAGUAACACGUAUGGAACCUGCCCGCAGCAGGGGGAUAAUCGGGGGAAACCCCGUCUAAUACCGCGUAACGACCCGGAGGGGCAUCCCUUCGGGUCCAAAGGUUUACCGGCUGCGGAUGGCCAUGCGUCGCAUUAGCUGGUUGGCGGGGUAACGGCCCACCAAGGCGACGACGCGUAGGGGUUCUGAGAGGAAGGUCCCCCACACUGGUACUGAGACACGGACCAGACUCCUACGGGAGGCAGCAG